rnacentral:rRNA from 1 species
UACGUAGGGUGCAAGCGUUAAUCGGAAUUACUGGGCGUAAAGCGUGCGCAGGCGGUUAUGUAAGACAGUUGUGAAAUCCCCGGGCUCAACCUGGGAACUGCAUCUGUGACUGCAUAGCUAGAGUACGGUAGAGGGGGAUGGAAUUCCGCGUGUAGCAGUGAAAUGCGUAGAGAUCGGGAGGAACACCCGUGGCGAAGGCGGCCACCUGGGCCGACCCUGACGCUGAGGCGCGAAGGCGUGGGGAGCGAACGGG